AGACCCGAAACCCGGUGAUCUAGCCAUGGGCAGGUUGAAGGUUGGGUAACACUAACUGGAGGACCGAACCGACUAAUGUUGAAAAAUUAGCGGAUGACCUGUGGCUGGGGGUGAAAGGCCAAUCAAACCGGGAGAUAGCUGGUUCUCCCCGAAAGCUAUUUAGGUAGCGCCUCGUGAAUUCAUCUCCGGGGGUAGAGCACUGUUUCGGCUAGGGGGCCAUCCCGGCUUACCAACCCGAUGCAAACUGCGAAUACCGGAGAAUGUUAUCACGGGAGACACACGGCGGGUGCUAACGUCCGUCGUGAAGAGGGAAACAACCCAGACCGCCAGCUAAGGUCCCAAAGUCAUGGUUAAGUGGGAAACGAUGUGGGAAGGCCCAGACAGCCAGGAUGUUGGCUUAGAAGCAGCCAUCAUUUAAAGAAAGCGUAAUAGCUCACUGGUCGAGUCGGCCUGCGCGGAAGAUGUAACGGGGCUAAACCAUGCACCGAAGCUGCGGCAGCGAACGUAUCACUUAAAGCGAUUCAGCGGGUUACGAUUGACGGAGCGAAGCGACGUCAAAGCGUAUACAAAGUCGAGUCGGUUUAAGGAUACGUUCGUUGGGUAGGGGAGCGUUCUGUAAGCCUGUGAAGGUGGCCUGUGAGGGUUGCUGGAGGUAUCAGAAGUGCGAAUGCUGACAUAAGUAACGAUAAAGCGGGUGAAAAGCCCGCUCGCCGGAAGACCAAGGGUUCCUGUCCAACGUUAAUCGGGGCAGGGUGAGUCGACCCCUAAGGCGAGGCCGAAAGGCGUAGUCGAUGGGAAACGGGUUAAUAUUCCCGUACUUGGUGUUACUGCGAAGGGGGGACGGAGAAGGCUAUGUUGGCCGGGCGACGGUUGUCCCGGUUUAAGCGUGUAGGUGUGUGUUCCAGGUAAAUCCGGUUCACUUUAACACUGAGGCGUGACGACGAGGCACUACGGUGCUGAAGCAACAAAUGCCCUGCUUCCAGGAAAAGCCUCUAAGCAUCAGGUAACAUCAAAUCGUACCCCAAACCGACACAGGUGGUCAGGUAGAGAAUACCAAGGCGCUUGAGAGAACUCGGGUGAAGGAACUAGGCAAAAUGGUGCCGUAACUUCGGGAGAAGGCACGCUGACACGUAGGUGAAGUGAUUUACUCAUGGAGCUGAAGUCAGUCGAAGAUACCAGCUGGCUGCAACUGUUUAUUAAAAACACAGCACUGUGCAAACACGAAAGUGGACGUAUACGGUGUGACGCCUGCCCGGUGCCGGAAGGUUAAUUGAUGGGGUCAGCGCAAGCGAAGCUCCUGAUCGAAGCCCCGGUAAACGGCGGCCGUAACUAUAACGGUCCUAAGGUAGCGAAAUUCCUUGUCGGGUAAGUUCCGACCUGCACGAAUGGCGUAAUGAUGGCCAGGCUGUCUCCACCCGAGACUCAGUGAAAUUGAACUCGCUGUGAAGAUGCAGUGUACCCGCGGCAAGACGGAAAGACCCCGUGAACCUUUACUAUAGCUUGACACUGAACAUUGAGCCUUGAUGUGUAGGAUAGGUGGGAGGCUUUGAAGCGUGGACGCCAGUCUGC
rnacentral:rRNA from 2 species